AGACAGGUCUCAGUCAAUUUAAAAAGUUUAUUUUUCCAAGGUUAAAAACAUGCCUGUGACGCAGCCUCAGGGGUCCUGAUGAUAUUUGCCCAAGGUGGUUGGGGCACAGCUUGUUUUUAUACAUUUUGGAGAGACACAGUACAUCAAUCCAUACAUGUAAGAUUUACAUUGGUUUGAUCUGAGUGGGCAAGACAACUCUAAGUGCAGGCUUCCAGGUCAUAGGGAGAUUUGAACAUAUCCUUUUUAUUUUAUUUUUAUUUAUUUAUGUAUUUAUUUUUUAUAUGGGAUCUCACUGUGUCACCCAGGCUGGAGCGCAGUGGUGUGAUCUUGGCUCACUGCAACCUCUACCCACUGAGCUCAAGUGAUCCUACCUCUUCAGUGUUCCAAGUAGCUAGGACCACAGAUGCAUGCCACAGUGCCUGGCUAAGUUUUUUGUAUUUUUUUCGGUGGAGGCUGGGAUUCACCAUGUUGCCCAGACUGGUCUGAAACUCCUGAGCUCAAGGGAUCCACCCUCCUCAGCCUCCUAAAGUGCUGUAAUUACAGGUGUGAGCAACCACACUCGGCCAGAUUUAAACAUAUUAUGAUUGGUAGUUAGUUAGAAGAGUUAUUAGCAGUAGAAAGGAAUGUCUGAGUCAAGAGAAAGUGUUGUAAAGACCAAGGUUUUAUUGUGCAGAAGAACCUUCCAGGUAGCAGGCUUCCGAGAAAAUAGAUUGUAAAUGUUUCUUAUCACACUUAAUGUUUGUGUUAAUGUUAAUACUGGAGGGAUAUAGUGAGGCAUGUCUAAUCCCCUCUUCCACAAUGCCUGAACUAGAUUUUCUGAUUAACUCUGCAAGGCUCUUGGCCAAGAAGAGGAGUUCAUUCAUAUAGAUGGGGAGGGAGGUUCUUAGAAUUUCAUAUUAGGUUUACAUUUGCCAAGUUUUUCACCAAAACUAAAAGUUGCCAAUAGUUAGCAUUGUUCCAUGUAAUUGAGACUUCUGAAGAAACAGUUUUACAUCCAAGGUGUUUAGGUAAAAGAUUAUAAGAAGGCAAAUUUGGGCAGUGGGGGAGGGCGGGCAGGCUUCUUUAGUGGGUUACAGGAUUGUUUUAAGUUAGAAUAAAGUUGAAGGUUUGAGCAAGUUGUGGAAGGUUUGUAAAACAUUUAACAUUGUAGAAGAAAUUCUGUGUGUAUCUAUAUGUCUAUGUUAGCUAAAGUUAAAAAAGUAUUCAGAUUUUUCAUAAAUUGAACAUUAAAAUAAAAGCACAACGUGAUUUUCUUGGAACAUUGAUCUGCUCUUUAACAGAAAAUUGUAAAGGAUUAUAAGAAAGUUUAUUGAGACUCUUACCUCAUGGUCAAACAUUAAACUUGGAUAGAUUUUUCUAUAAAGUUAUAUUAAGAAUUGAGUUUGACAUUAAUAGUACCAUGAUGCAAAGGUGAAAUUUGGCUCUCCCUCUAGAACAACAUUUUCAUGUGAUACUCAAUAAUGAUGAAAAGUUUGUUUGCCUUUGAAUAAGCUAUAAGAAAAAUAAGAAAAAGAAAGAGAUUGUUUAGAAAGCUAAGUUUUCCCUCUAUUAAUGAGUAUAGGUUUUAUCCUUUAAAAAGUUUUGAGUUAACAUUUUGACUAAAUGGAUAACUUAUGGUAACCUAGAAUUCUAUUUUAUAAUAUAAAAUGAUUUAAACCUUUGAUAUUUGACAAAUGUUCCAUAAUCAUAUUAUAAAUUGUGUCUUUUUCUGACCUAAUUGAACUUUUAGCUAUUAGGUCUCCUAAAGUCCAAACAUGACAUAUUUGAUUUAUAUAAUAUAAAAAUCAUACAGGAAGCAUGAUCAAAUAUGAAAUGGUGUUAGAAUUUCUUUGUGCUAUAUUUGUAAAAAUAGGUUAUCAUUAUAUAUUCCAAAGUUAUGGGAAACUCUUAUAAUUGUAAUAUUCCUUAGUGUACAUUAUAAAUAAUUAUAACUGUUAUGUAAAAUUCUUGUAUGGAACAGAAGUAACAAACUUUUCUAUUUAAUUUUGGCUUUAACAGUUGGUGUCCUAAAACUUUUUGCCAUCCACAGACAAUUGUUGGGACUUAAUAAUUAUGCUUUUAGCUGACUCCUAACUCUUGCCAUGGAUCUUUUGGCUGCCACGGAUUUCAGGGAACAAAAGAGACUGCGGGUAGGCUGGCUGCACUCCAGGUUGUGGGUAGUGGUCUAGUUGUGGGGGCUGGGGUUGUUUUCACUUUGCAGGGUGGUCUUCGGUCUUCUGGAAAAAUCUUUGAACGUGGUUUGGCCUCCAGCCCAGCCCCUCUGGUUCUCUUCGGCCAGCGCUGAUUUUUCUUAGCUACUAUCAGAGUUCCACAGUGACCCUCACCAGCACUCCUGGACACCUUCUUCAGCCUUGCAAUCACCCCAAGUGGACUCUGAGACACUCUCUCAACUUCACUUGCCCUUGUGGGUUGCCAGUUCCAGUUCCAAGAUCGUGUACUAGAUUGGACUUCUUUCUGUUGUGGUUCCUUCCAGUGCCAAACAGCUGUGCAGACAAGCAGGAGCGUCUGGGAGGCCCAGGAUGAAGGGAGGAAGUGAGCUCAAAGGCCGGCCAUCUUUCACUGACAUCCGCCUCAGGGGUAUCAGGAAUGAUUCCAUUACCAACAGACCCCUCAUCAACUCAACAGACUGUAUUCCCAUCGCCAUGGGACCCAAUUCCUGCACACAGCCUCUUUCGGAAAUGGAAUCAGAAGAGCAGUUUCCAGCGCCCACCGCACAUGCUUGACACUCCUCGUCCUCCAGCGGGAAGCAACCAGGGAGACGGCCGAGGGCCCCGAAGUGGUUGGCGCAGGCAGCUUUUUCGCGAACCAGGCUGGCUCUGCCUUUCCCGUUUUCCUCUGCUUAGGCAGGCUGACAGCCCUGACAGUUCAGGGGCCGAGGUUGCCUCGCAUAUGCGCAUGCGCCAGUCUCAGGCCUUGCAUAUGCACAUGCGCCAGUCUCAGGGCACCAUGUGCAACCGGUGAGCGAAGGCUUGCGUCACGGUGAAUGCAACCGUUGCCUGCCGACAAAUAUCUGUGGCUUGGCGGAAAAGGAGACCGCUGUGGACCUGCGUCCGCAUUAGACUCUAGCCUGUCUUCUUUGAAGGAUCCACGUGACAUUCCCACAAUCCUAAGAGAUGGCAGUGGAGAGUUAGCCUGAAGAAAUCUCAAGCGCAGCUUCAGAAAUACAGCGCGAUGUCCCUAAGAAUCCAAAAGGGCCUGCAGGAUGCGUCAGGCCUGCCUAGACGGUGUUGGUUUGAGUAUCCUUGAAAGUUGCCCCCUGUGAUUUCUAGGAACAGCCCGCCUGUGUUUCCUGGUGCUGCUCUCUCCCCAAUACGUCUUCGUGGUAGAGCAGUACCGCACAGUCUCAGAAGCUACCGGGCUGUAUGUUGCUAUGGGAGUGUUGCGAGUGAUGUAUGUUUGUGUGUGUGUGUGUGUAAGUGGUGUCCACUGAAAGCAGUGUGCCUCACACACUGCAGCGCUUUCGUUUUGGACUCGCCCCACCUUCUGGUGCGCGUGUCUGAGUGGUUCUGCUUGGACUGCCUCACUUCUUGUCCUUUGUUUUUCUGUUUCCUGAAUGCGCAGUGAAUUGGGGGGCUGGCCGGACACGCCUGGGUCCAAAUCACAUUCCCCUGCAAAGAAGCCACUUUUGCAGAAAGAAGAGGAGUACACCACACCUAAGGACAGACACCUCCCUAGACCAGGCUGGAUCUGCCUGAACCAUUUUCCUCUGCUUAGGCAGGCUGACAGCCCUGACAGUUCAGCUCCCGAGGCUGCCUCACGAAUGCGCAUGCGCCAGAAUCUGAGCACCAUGCGAAAGCAGUGAGGGAAGGCUCGCGUCACAGUGACUGCCACUGUUGCCUGGCGACAAGUAUCUGUGGCUUGGCGGAGAAAGAGACCUCUGUGGGGUGCGUCCGCGUUGGACUCUCGCCUGUCUUCUUUGAAGGAUCCACGUGAUAGUCCCACAUCCUAGGAGAUGGCAGUGGCCAAUCAGCCUGAAGAAAUCUCAAGCGGAGCUUCAGAAAUACAGCGCGAAAUCCCUGAGGAUCUACCCGCAGGAUGCGUUAGGCCUGCCUAGAUCUUGGCUGGCCGAGACACGCCAGGGUCUAAAUCACAUUCCCCUGCAAAAGAGCCACUCUUGAAGAAAGAAGAGGAGCACACCACAUCCAAGGGUAGACACCUCCCAUGACUUCUUUGUCCUGGGACCAACCGAUCGUCGAAACCUCGCAACCAGACCCUAGCAAUCCUGUCUCAGGGCCGCUUGAAUCCAACUCGAAUUCGGUUUUGAGCCAAACAGGUGCUUCAGGUCAUGAGGUGGGCAAUCCUCCAUAGUCUUCGGAUUUCAUCCCGGGACAGAGGGGUGAGCAGCCGCUGACAUCCCUGACAGUUCAGCUCCUGAGGCUGCCUCGCGAAUGCGCACGCUACAGUCUCGGGGCACCAUGCACAAGCCGUGAGCGAAGGCUCGCGUCAAGUGAAUGUCACCGUUGCCUGGCUGCAGGUAUCUGUGGCUUGGCGGAGAGGAAGACCUCUGUGGACGUGCGUCUGCGUUGGAGUCUCACCUGUUUUCCUUUAAAGAUCCAAGUGAUAGUCCUACAAUCCCAGCAGAUGGCAGUGGGGAUUCAGCCUGAGGAAACCUCAAGCGGAGCUUCAGAAAUACACUGCGAAAUCCCUAAGGUCCAAAAAGAUCCGCAGGCUGCGUCAGGCCUGCCUACUCAGUGUGGGGGUGUCUCCUUGACAGUUCCCUCACUGAUUUCUAGGUAAAGUCCGCCUGUGUUUUUCAGGACUGCGCUCUUGCCGGAUGGACUUCCUGGCGAAGCAGAACCACACAGCCUCAGAAGCUGCCAAGCUGUGUGUUUCUGUAUGAGUGCUCUGAGUUUUGGAUGUCUGCGUGUGUGUGUGUGGCUGUAUGUGUGUGUUUGUGGGUCUGUGUGUGUGUGUGUAUAAGUGUCAUCUGCUAAAAAAUAUUUGGCUCAUGCACCGCUGCCCUUUCUUUUCGAGUCACUCCACCUUCUGGUGCAUAUUUGGCUCAUGCACCACUGCCCUUUUUUUUCGAGUCACGCCACCUUCUGGUGCACCUGUCUGUGUGGCUCCGCUUGGGCUAUGGGGCUGCGUGUUUUUUGUUUUCCCGUGGUUCCUGAAUCUGCGGUGAAUUGCGGUCUAAGACCAACAGGGAUCCAAAUCACCUUCCCAUACAAAGCAGCCAUUCUUCAAUAAGGAAUAGGAGCAUAUCACACCC